GUGGUCAGUGGAGCGAUGAACAGAGCUCAAGCUUGUUUGGUGGUCUUGUGCUGUUGAGUAAAUGACUGAAGCAUUCUUGUAUAGGGUGUCAUUUCUAAGCCCACUAGGUUGUAGAAAUCAAGCCCAAGCGCCAAGUUCAGUCUAGCAAGUCAUCUGAUCAGAAACAGUGCUGAAAGACUGAGGCUUUUGCAGCAACAGUUAUUGGGGUUUCCAGGAUGAAUGAGUUCAGAUGAACAUUAAAUCUUCAAUUAGUCUUAAUGCUAGUGAUGGAGAAUGUAUGACAUCAUGGAAAUGUAAAAUACUUUCCUAUACCAUCACCAAGCCCAGGCUCUUGCGACUAUUCAGCUUCUGCCAACUUGUCUUCAUUCAUUUGCUGAUCUCAGCCAAGCCCUUGAAGAGCUGGGCAAUGGUAUUAUUUGCAUGGGAGGUGAAGAUGAUGUAGAGAUGGGUGUCAUGUGUGUACUGCUGACAAGUCAGUCCAUGGUGCCACUCUAGAGGCUUUAUAUAGAUAUUGAACAGGCUGGGUGAGAGGAAAGAAUCUUGUGUUAUUCAGCAGGUGGAAAAGGUUUUGGAGGUUAAGGAAAGAGCAAGUGUUUAUCAUAAAUCUCUUGAGUGUACCAAAGAUUUAUGUAAGGGAUGUCCGAAGAUGUACCAGCUCAGUGCUGUGAGGCUGCAGACAGACAUUUAUUUUCAAACAGCUGAGCUGGCUGGAGAUACUACAACCACUCCAGAUGCUUGCUACCAAUCCUCUGCUGAUGGCGCCUGUACCCUUUGCUCUGCUAUUAAAAAAGGUGGUCUAAGGUCUUCCUAAUCUGUCGGGUGAAGCCUCUCAGAUAGUUUUAAGUGCUGACAAAGGUGGUGUUAGUUAACCCCGCUGACAUUGCUUUACCUUUAAGAAAGAGCUGUUUACUAGCACAGCCUAAGUUUUAGAGAGGAGAAAAAGGAAAGAGGAAUGCAGCAGCCUUUCCCACAGAACACAUCCGCAGCUCCAGACAGUUCCUGCAUUGCCUCCUGCAGGUCUGGAGAUGGCUGAGAUUUUUUAUUUUUCCUGGUGGAUGGACAAGAGCAGGAUCAGCGGAGCUCCCCGUGCAGAGGGUGUUAUUCCAGAAGAGCACUCCAUCACUCGCAGAGAGGAGCGAUCCAAUAUGCCUUCUGUCCAGGAGCAGGAGGGGGAAGGAGGGACGAGAGGAGGGGAUAAAGAUGCUUCCUUCCCGGUGCUCGGGGCUGCCAGCCAAGAAUCACUGCCACCUAAGGUGGAGGAUACAGGAAGUGGCCAUCAUUAUUAUGGUGACAAGGAUGUAUCCUUUGAGAUUGUGGCUCCCCUCAGCUGGCAUACACAGGAUGCUGUGACUGGCCUGCUGCGUUUUCUUGGGGACCACUGAAAAGGGUGCUCCCCUGGUUAAAUGAUGGGAGAGAUGCUCAUCUGAGUAAUAGAUGGAAUGCGUACAGUCUCUGUUAAAGAGGUGGCCAUCUUCUUCCCAGCCCUGGAGGCAGAUGUGCUGCAGCAGGAUGGAACAUCCUCCUCCUUUACUCCCCCCCCCCCACCCCAAUAUGUGGAUGCGGUUCCCUUGCAGUGGCAUGGCUCCAUUAGCCACAGUGCGCUCGCUUGAGGAGGGAGUGCAGAGGCUCUGGAAGGUCUAGGUGUGAGAUCAGGGCAGAUCCUUACUUGGUUCAUCUCCUAACCAGCUCACGCAGAGGCCCCAGGCUGCAAAACCUGAAUACUCUGACCUGAAUACAGCCAGGUGCCUGUGCCGCAAGCCUGGUCCUCGCCUCCCUCCACCACUUCUCUUUGCUCUGUUUCAGCUGUGCAUCCUUAAGUGAUUCAGGGGCUUGGGGCCAGAGGGCUCUUUGCCUCGCCGAGCUGAUCCCGAAGAGAAGGGGUGAUGUGCCAGGAGGUCUGGGAGGCGAAUGUCAUUUCAUCACUUUUCUCCUGGGAGAGGUAGAGGGAUCCAGCAUGGGAACAACAGGGGUGGGGGGCAGGGGUUAAUGAGGAGAAACGGGAUAAAUUAAAGCAGGGAAAAUGUAGGCUAAGUAUUGGGGGAAAACAUAUGUUUUAUAAUAAAUAUUACAUGUUUAAGUGCUUGCAAGCCAAGGAUUAUUUGCUCACAAAAAGAAAAUAAGUAAAUUCCAGAGAAUGACUAAAUUAUUGGACACAGUUCCUAACUAGGUACCUAGAAAAUGUGUUGAAUCAGGCUGUCAGUGUGAAUUCCCAGCUCUGGAAAAUAUACCCUAGGGAGCACCAGCUUUCCUGGUUUUCCACUGAUCAUAAUGCCAAAGUGAAAUCUCCUGAGGCUAAGUGCUUGCACAUUAACUAACUUACAGUGCCAUCUAGCCCCAUCUGAGACAUAAGACGUUUAUGAGUGGUUGCUAAUUUUGUUCCUGUAACCGGGAGGCUGAGUCACUUUAGCUCGAACCCACCUCCUAGGUCAUGUGCUUGUGGAUGUAAGUGUAUCUUGGAGUACAUCCCUACGUGCACUGGGAUGUAUUUUUAAAGACUUGUCCACGAGUCACAAAUGUAAAUGCCUGACUGGGAGCCAUCCCAGCUGGACAAAUACAACAUGUUUUCACAGCAGCUUGAUGUUGGUAGGGCAGCUCGGUGUUGCAUAGGUCUCCCUGACGCUUCCCAUUGAUAAGACCUUACUUUGGAUGGCUUAGAGAUUUGACAGCCUGCAACUUCUUGGGCUGGGAGCAUUGGAUGGUUGCUUCAGGCUCUUUGUAGGAAACUUCCCCUAGAGCAGCGUUUGUGCCCUUCCCGAAGGCUGGCUAUGGACCAGUGUGUGGAUUUGCUCAUUCUGGAAAAAAAAACAAACCCAAAACAGCAAAUACAAAAGCGAUAGCGCUGCUGCUACUGUUCAUCUUGUGAAACACGGUGUGGGCAGAGGGCAGUGGCUCUGGCUCCUGCUGCCCACGUUGUGCUGUGGCUGCAUCCCUGCGCCCUUCACCAUCCUCACCCCAGAUGCAUUCUCCCCUGAGAGACGGGGCCGUGGGGCGAGCUCUCAUGUCCCGCCAAAGGCCACGGAGUGUAGAGAGAUGCCAUGGGCUCCCUGGUGCAAGGGCUCGGGGUCCCCUGACAUCUGAGAGAAUCCUAAAGUUGCUCUGUUGGCUCUUCGGGCAUCUGUUUUUUUGCCUGCGUGGGCUCCAGAGGGUUUCAGGGGGUGUUGCUGGGGGCUGUGGGUUUGGUGCAAUGUUGUGUUUUUGAGUCUGCUAAGCUUGUGUCAGCCUUUCUUUUCUGCCUUGCAAAAGAUUAAUGCAGGGAAGCUGUCUAGACUGCCAAAGGUAGCGAAGUAACCUUUUCCUAUAGAGAAAAACACCCAUUAUCCUAUCUGGGCUUGGACUACAAGAGUGUUGUUUUGUACUUUCUCCUUUAUGUUUCUUUUUUUUUUCUUUUUUUUCCUUGUGUGCUCACAGUAAAGUCCAUAGCCAGACAUAUGCUCACGGCCUGGAAUGAAGUCGACUGCAAUUACAUCCUAAGGGAGUCGCUCAACAGGGGUUUUGUGAAGGCAGGACACAGGCUUUGGUGGAUGGAGCCUGUUGCUGCUGCACAUGUGCUGUUAGACCUCCAAGUGCACUCACUCUGCCUUCAGCUUGGUGGGAACGAGGAGCAGAAGGCCCAGAAAUACAGCCAGUCUGGUGCACAUCUGGAGACAGUAACGUGAGGCAAAGUGUGCACCUCCUGUCCUCGAAUAGGGUGUUUUCUUGCAUUAGCUAUUUCAGCACAUCCGCACCAAAAUGCUGCCUUUUAAACGUGCUUGUGCCAUGUUCCCUGUGCUCCAUGUCAGUCUGAACGUCCAAGCGUAAAGGUGCUUGGAGCUGGGUUGCAGGGUCUGGGCCUCUCUCUGUGGUACUUUCAACUUACUUCCUUCAUCUCCAAAAGGAGCAAGAAGCACAUGCUGUGGCAACGCAGUCGUUUAAUCCAGGCUGGUGAAACCUGUUCUCCAGAUGAACAACUGACGGAUCAUUUGCUCCGUAGCUCUGCAUAUGAAUGCAAUGUUUGCUGGGGCGGCUGGAUAUUGGUGCCAGCUUUCCACUCGUUUCCAGCAAAGCCAAACAGCAGCCUGACCGUGGAUCUGCUUCCAGUUCCUUCCAGGCUUGUGAAGCUCGGGAUGGGAACGUGUUUGCCUGGGGAGGCAGGUGAUACCUGAAAGGGUGCAGCCAAAACUAACAAAGAUUUUGUAACGCGAGGAGCCUGGGCUGCUGAGUAACAGCUGACAAUCUCAUGGCCUGGCUGAUGGCUCAGUGGCGGCUCACUACCAGGGAGAGGACUCUGGUGUGCUCCUGGUGGCAGCCACUGCUCUGGCAAACAGCGUUAGAAACUUUACAGGUGAAUAUGCGAUGUUUAUGCAGCUGUUUUCUUUCUUUUUGGCUUAAGGAACAAGCCCAGCUCUACCAGGGCCCGUUCAUGCCCCAUGAAUUUCUUGAUCUGCUUGCGUUGCCUCUGAGGAUGGAGAGAUGAAAGAAGCUGCUUUCAUUUGAACUGCAAUUCAGACUUCUUUAAUUUUUUUAUUUUUUUUUUUUAAGAAGGGUACAUGUUUAAUAUUUUUGGGGCCAGCACUGUGAAGCUGGCUCAGGCUUCAGAAACACUUUCCAAAGUUUGUUGUCUGGAAUAGCAUGCUCUAAAAAUGCAUUGCGUCACGUUGCACUAGCCGGUCCAGCCUCCUACUGUGGCUGUACAACAGGGGUUUCCUUUCAGUUCAGAGGACAGUGGUCUCAUGCAUCUGGUUGCAGAAGGCCCCCUUGCAAGAGCAGCUCUCCUUCCAAGCUUGAUUAGCUUGGCAUCAUCUGGACUCUGUGAGGCAAGGAGCUUUGAGGCUUCUGGCUCCAACUUCAUGGUAGCCCCAUUUGCCUGCUGUUUCGAUCUGUCUCCCAUCUAUAGCUCUAGCUGGUGUAGGUGGUUUUUAAUGGACAGAUUUUAUUGAUCAUAGAUGGUGUCAGAUUAACAAGCUUGGGGGUGUGAAGUAACUUGGUCACCUACCAAUUGGUGGGGGUGGGAGAACAAGGACCGUUCUCCCAACUCCCACGGCUUUGCCAGUGCGACGGUCCUGGAGCAAUCAGUCACCUCUGUGGAUGAACUCAGUGUUCAGUUGAGGGUUUGACCCAUCAGCUGGGGCUGUGAAAUCUGUUCUGGCUGCCAUGAUACUUAACUACUGUUUUGACUGUUUUCAGCUGAAGCCUAGCAAAGGCAUUGGAAGCCCUCACUGGUUGAUUUGAAUGUGCUCAGGAUCCAUACUGGUUUAGAAUCCUAAGAUCCGUAUUAUGAUCUGUAUUUGUUGCACAUUGCAACAGUUUCUUUCUCUCUCUCUCUCUCUCUCUCGCUCCCUCUUAUGCACCUCCAGCGCCUGGCUCUGUGCUAGACGAAACCCCGGGGGUGUUCGGGGAGUGCAGGUCUGGGCUGUGUAUCACCCUGUCGCCAGGACUGAGCUGGGAGAGGUCAGUACAUGUGCACACAGCCCAGAGCAAUGCGUGCUUGGGGGGAUGGGAAGUUUGAAAGGAUGACUGGUAUUUUAUCUGCAGUUUAGCAUGGCUUAGGUUUGUCAGCAAGACACCACAGUCCUGAAAUUUUAAGCCUGAGGCAGAGCUGGGAAGAACAACCUAGAGCUCCUGAGUUGCUGUUUAGGGCUUUGGAUACAGCUUCGGUCCAAGACUCCCCCUUCUUAAAAGCAGAGAGAUGUUGAAGUGUGGUAUUUCCAUUUGUUAUGUGAAGUCCACUCAGACCUAUUCACCCCCUUGCCUUUCUGCCUUUGCUUUUUUUUUUGAUGGGGGGAGAGGCAAGCAUUAAUAAGGAAGAGAGUAAAUCUUGCUUAAAGUUUUUUUUUCUUGCUGCACCAGUGUCCCACCCCAUGGCCUGCACUAAAAAGGCAAAAGCACUCCUGCAGAGCAAGUUUAGCAGCGCACAAAAUGAUCUCUCUCCUCCUCAGAGCCCAGAACUCCCCCAUCUCACCAGCCUUGUAGCCCAGCUGUCCCAGACCCCAGGCAGCAGGGACAGAUAGCAGCAGGCUGCUCGCCACACUGCAGCCCCAGUGAUGGAGCUGAUAAUGGGAAGGAUUUCUUGGUACAGUAUGAGGAUGAAGCCUCUGAAAAAAUAUUGUCUAGUUAUGGUGGGAAGAAAGAAAAAUUAAGCAAGCACGCACACGUUCAACCUCAGACUCACGUAACUUUGAAGGGUUUGGUUGUGCCUGAGUUUUUUCUCAGCUGCUGUUCCCUGGCCUGCUCCCGGCACAGCUCCACCGCUGGAGCAACAGCUGGACAGCUGACAUGCACCAUGACACUGCCAGGUCUCCUCACUGCAGAUCAAGCCUUGCACUCUGAUACUUGGGGAUUUCCUUGAAGCCCUUGUGCCUCUCUGCCAGAGUGCUGAGAUGGCAUGAGAAUCUUGGCUUCUCAUGGAAGAAAAAGAGGAGGGGUAAAAAAAGCUAAUUAAGAAAGAAAAGGUUUCUAGCGCUCAUGAUUGUGUAGGGAAAUUAAAAAAUGGGAAAUGAGUGUGACCUAUAGUAAAAUAAUACAAGUAUAUUCUAUGGUUUUGCCCCUAGUGGGGCUGUACGAAUUGUUUGGAUGAUGCAGGGGAGAAAAUAGAGCCACACUCAGCACUGCAGCCUUGUUGCCACUGCUGAAAGAAGAGCAGUGAAAACUUAUUUCACCACUGUGGAUGCCAACCCGUAAUAGGCAGUGGCUCUAGUUGUGGUGGUUGGUGCUUCCUAUGCCUGGCUGCUCCCUUUUGCCAAAGUUUACUGCAGUGGUGGUGGUUGCCCAAGGAAGGGUAUGGUGCUCCAUCACAGGUUAACUCCUAAGUCUUAGGAUGCUUUGGUAAGUGAGGUGCUAGUCCAGUCUGUGGAAAUCUUGGUCUUGAAUUAUAAUUUCUUUUAAGUGUUAGACCUUGCCUGCAAAAAUGAAGUUUUUCCUGGACUCACUUUUCAGUAUUGCUGCUAUUCUUUCCAUCCUCUAUCUUCAUUGCUUCCACUGUGGGUACAGAGAUGUGAGCUUUCAAUACCUGGAAGUUUCCAUCCUGUUUGUUAGCAGCACUCUGCAUGAAAGAGACCAUGAGAAAUUGGAGAUGCUACAGGUAAGCAUCCGAGAAUUAAUCCUCCCUUCCUCAAUGAGGCAGUGUGUUUUUGCGGUGGAAAGAGGACUCAUGAGUGACAGAGCAAAAAAUCAGCGAUUACUAUUUGGCAGGAGAUACUUAAACUUUGUCAAGCUAGGCAAGUAUCUCCAUUGUGGUCUCUGACUCACAAUUCAAAUAUGCUGGGAACAUUUGAGGGGGCUGGGUCAGUUCUUUAAGCAGUGGGAAAAACAAGGCUUUAAUACAUCACGGCGUAGCUUUGGGUCUGUGCUCUACUGUUUCUGCUUUUCUUUGAGGAAACUGGUGUCACUAGCAGGGGGGAAAGGGAGGUAUUGUGAAACCGCACACACAUGCACAUGUGAUUUUGAUCCCUCCUAACAGUGUUGCAGACUCAUUUGAUUGUGGUGGCUGAGCGGAAUCGCUUCUGGACAAGCUUGAGAAGUGAGCCCAUGCAAACCUCAUGAGGUUUGACAAGGCCACGUGCAACGUCCUGUUCCUGGAUCAGGGCAACCCCCAGUAUCAAUACAGGGUGGGGGAUGAAGGGAUUGAGGGCAGCCCUGCUGAGAAGGACGUGGGGGAACUGGUGGAGGAGAGAUCGGACAUGAGCCAGCAAUGUGCACUUGUAGCCCAGAAGGCAAAUUGUAUCUUGGGCUGCUCCUAUGAGGAUAGCCUGAGAGAGUUCGGGUUGUUCAUCCUGGAGAAGAGAAGGCUUCAGGGAGACCUUAUUGUGGCCUUUCAGUACUUAAAAGGGGACUAUAAGAAAGAUGGGGACAGAUGGGGGCCUGUUAUGAUAGGACAAGGGGUAAUGUCCUCAUAGGAGAGGUGUUGCACCCCUCUGGUCAUCUUGGUGGCCUCCCCUGGACCCUCUCCAACCGGUCCAUGUCUUUCCUGCGCUAAGGGCUCCAGAGCUGAAUGUAGGACUCCAGGUGAGGCCUCACCAGAUCCUGUUGCAUGAGUGAGAGCAGCUGCUGGUGGUGGGGUUGCCCCUCUGUGCUCCUCCAGCUGGAGGCAAACACCUGCUCAGGGAUGCUUCCUGUUAAAUACAGUUGUGAAGCAGGCAGAUGCUUUCAGCCUGUGGAUUUGCACUUUCUGCUUCUGGGAGGGGCUGGAGGGAGAACAGGGAAAGGGCGCUGGAGGAGUAUGGCCAAAAAAGAGCAAGACCAGGCGAGGAGCAGCCAUAUGGCAGAUGAGCUGUUGGCUCCGUAAUUAAGCCAAGUGCUGGGGAUGCGAGAGGCUCGGCUGUGCUCAGUUCAGAGCCCGGCUUCCUGUGUGUUCCUCCCCACUAUGUUUCUAACCAGAAAUUCCAUCUUUGACCCGAAAAAUCUUCCAGAUGAAAAUUUAAUUACAGAAGCGAUGUAUUCCCACAAGAAACUUCAUUGUCAGCAAAUAAGCAUUGUUUUUGGUGAAAAACUGUUUUAAUCAUGCAGACAAAAACCUGGCUCCCAUUGAUUCCAUGCUAGAGCAUUACCCUGGUAAAAUCUCUAGUGUUUUGUUUAAUAAAAAAUUAUUAUGAUGUGCAAUUAGCAUCCAGUAGGCGUAUAAGUUACAAAGAAUUGUCACCAACAUUGUGGUCCUCCCAUACUGGAUACAGUUUAUCAGCAAGUUAUUAAAUCAUGACCUAUGUUAUGCCUGGGAUUUAUAAAAGGUUACUGGCGCUGGAGAAGUGGGAUGAAAGAGACAUGGGAGUGUAAACCCAGAGAACAAGAUUUUCUUUCCUUUGUGCAACAGAUGCCUGCUUUCUGCACAGCGAAGGUGCGCUUUUCCUCCAGCUGAUGUGAUUUGUAACACAGACUUUGUAAAUAUUUUCCAUAUGCAAAGGUCUUCACCCACAGUUGUUAUUGGUUCCAUAUUUACUCGGGAUCUUCGCAUGCAGAGGAUGGAUUUUGGCUUGCGAGGAGGAACUUCUGUGAGGCUGGACCGUUUCCUCUCGCACAACGAGUCUCUUCAGGAUUGUGCGUAAUGCACCGAAAGCCUGCUAGGGCCAAUGUGCUUUUCCGCGUAACAGAAAACUUUGCAAGCUCGUUAAUAAAGGCCAAAUAAAAUAAAGCUGAGAAAGUCAACAUGUUUGAAAAGAUACGCUGCUCUGGAAAAGAAGCGGAGAUGUGGUGUGUAUUUAUGUGAACAAAAGAAGUCUAAACUGUAAACUAUAAUAUAUCUGUUAGCUCA